rnacentral:rRNA from 1 species
AGUGAACGCUGGCGGCGUGCCUAACACAUGCAAGUCGAACGGGCUAGUGCUUCGCACUAGUCUCUUUCUGGGGUUGUUACUCUAAGGCUACCUGCUAAAGUUAUUGCUUUAAAGCAGGGGUUUUAGGAGACUUUCCCCGAAAGGGGCCAGUGCGGAGCACUGGCCAGUGGCGAACGGGUGAGUAACACGUGGGUAAUCUACCCUCGAGUGGGGAAUAAGCUUCCGAAAGGGGGUCUAAUGCCGCAUAACGUUUCAUAACGAUGGUUAUGAAACCAAAGCCCAAAAGGCGCUCGAGGAGGAGCCUGCGUCCUAUCAGCUUGUUGGCAGGGUAAUGGCCUACCAAGGCUAUGACGGGUAGCCGGCCUGAGAGGGUGUCCGGCCACACUGGAACUGAGACACGGUCCAGACUCCUACGGGAGGCAGCAGUGGGGAAUUUUGCGCAAUGGGGGAAACCCUGACGCAGCGACGCCGCGUGGAGGAGUGACGGCCGUUCGGGUUCGGUAAACGUACCUGUCCGAGAAGGGAACGGAAAGUACCCGACCG